AAGCGUUUAUGACCAGACUUGGGCUUGGUUAAUCAUCUGGGGUUCUCCCCAGUGCACUUUUCCAGUCCAGGCCAGCAUCAGUUUUCCCCGGGGGAUAAAGGUCCUGGGAACGUAGCUCCUCCGGGAGUGUUAUAGCCCAGGGCGUCAUGCCCUCGCGGGGACCGAGGUUCGCGCAUCUGCAAGGAUGCUGGCGUAAUGGUCAUCAGCGA
rnacentral:rRNA from 1 species